AACGAACGCUGGCGGCAGGCCUAACACAUGCAAGUCGAGCGCCCAGCAAUGGGAGCGGCAGACGGGUGAGUAACACGUGGGAACCUUCCCUAUAGUACGGAAUAGCCCAGGGAAACUUGGAGUAAUACCGCAUACGCCCGAGAGGGGAAAGAUUUAUCGCUAUAGGAUGGGCCCGCGUAGGAUUAGCUAGUUGGUGAGGUAAUGGCUCACCAAGGCGACGAUCCUUAGCUGGUCUGAGAGGACGACCAGCCACACUGGGACUGAGACACGGCCCAGACUCCUACGGGAGGCAGCAGUUGGGAAUCUUGGACAAUGGGGGGAAACCCUGAUCCAGCCAUGCCGCGUGAGUGAUGAAGGCCUUCGGGUUGUAAACUCUUUCGCGCACGACGAUAAUGACGGUAGUGCGAGAAGAAGCUCCGGCUAACUUCGUGCCAGCAGCCGCGGUAAU
rnacentral:rRNA from 1 species